GUCCUGGGACAGCUCAGUUGGUAGAGCAUGAGACUUUUAAUCUCAGGGUUGUGGGUUUGAGCCCCACAUGGGGCA
rnacentral:tRNA from 1 species